GCUCGGGAAGAGUGAACUAGCUAACUGAAAUCAAUCUACAUAUAAAUAUUGAUUGAUAACGUAAGGGAAAAUAAUGAUAUUACCUUACUAUUAGUGUCGCCCAAAUCUGGUGCCAGAAGACUCGGUCAAGGCCAGAGACGCAAACGUUAAUCGCCAUAAUCAGGCGUAAAGGGUUUGUAGGCUGCUUAGAAAUUUAUCUNUCNNNNUAGCAAUGCCCUCCUAUUCUCUAAGAAAGGAGUCAUUUAAGGUAGGCUUAAAAAAGAUAAAUAAUAAAAGCUAGAAUCAAAUAGAGKUUAUAUUAUAUAAUGCUUAAAGUAGGGCUAAUAUCCUAACAGAUUAAGUGGAAUAUUAAAAGCGAAGGCUUAUUUUCCAUAAAUGAUUGACGCUGAGAAACGAAGGUGAGGAUAGGAAAUAGGAUUAGAUACCCAAAAUACCCCUCUCUGUAAACGAUGAAUGGUGGUUGCUAAUUAGUAAAUUGGUAGCUAUGUUAACACGAUAACCAUUCCGCCUUGUGAGUACGACUGCAAAGUUGNAAACCAAAAAAUUAGUCGGUUUCGGAGCACNCGAAUGNACUG
rnacentral:rRNA from 1 species